GCGGGCGUGGUCUAGCCUGGUUUAUGACGCCUCCCUGUCACGGAGGAAAUCGGGGGUUCAAAUCCCCCCGCCCGCG
rnacentral:tRNA from 2 species